GUGCUUGCUUCAGGAGCACAUAUACUAAAACUCAAACGAUACAGGGAAUAUUAGCAUGGCCCCUGCACAAGGAGACACUCAAGUUCAUGAAGUGUUCCAUAUUUUG
ensembl:snRNA U6 U6 spliceosomal RNA